GACCUGAUCCUCCAUAUGAGGUACGUAGGCAGCCCUCGGGUGCGAUCCAAAGAAGGUAAAUUUUGUUUUCCUUAUUUUCAGUAGUUUCUUUUUAAUUUCUUUCAUCAUUGAUCUUAUAUAUUAUAUGUUUGGACAAACAAUUGGCUUUUAAAUUUUUGUCCUUUAGUAAUAUUAUAGAUUAAUAAUAUAAUCACUUACUGAGUAAAUACCCUCGAUUGUUUUGAUAUUACAAGCUUAAUGCUUGAUUUUGAUUGUUGGUUUCUUAUGAUGUUGUGUUGUAUCCACUUUGGAAUUUUUAGAAUUUACGUAGAUUAAAUAUAUAUUAGGAAGAGGAAAAAUUAUGUCUUUAGUAGCUAUUGUAUUCAACUAAUUCUUUCUACCAUG
rnacentral:misc_RNA from 1 species